CGGCCGGUGAACAGGUGCUGCAUGGCUGUCGUCAGCUCGUGCUGUGAAGUGUUCGGGUUAAGUCCCGCAACGAGCCGCAACCCCCUGCCGUCUGUUGCCACCACGAAAGGUGGGGACUCAGGCGGGACCGCCGGUGACAAACCGGAGGAAGGUGGGGACGACGGUCAAGUCAUCAUGGCCCUUAUGUCCUGGGCCACACACGUGCUACAAUGGCCGGUACAGAGCGCAGCGAGGCCGCGAGGCGGAGCGAAUCGCUUAAAGCCGGUCCCAGUACGGAUUGGAGUCUGCAACCCGACUCCAUGAAGUUGGAAUCGCUAGUAAUCGCGCAUCAGCAUGGCGCGGUGAAUACGUUCCCGGGCCUU
rnacentral:rRNA from 1 species